rnacentral:rRNA from 1 species
CGGACGGGUGAGUAAUGUCUGGGGAAACUGCCUGAUGGAGGGGGAUAACUACUGGAAACGGUAGCUAAUACCGCAUAACGUCGCAAGACCAAAGAGGGGGACCUUAGGGCCUCUUGCCAUCGGAUGUGCCCAGAUGGGAUUAGCUAGUAGGUGGGGUAACGGCUCACCUAAGCGACGAUCCCUAGCUGGUCUGAGAGGAUGACCAGCCACACUGGAACUGAGACACGGUCCAG